rnacentral:rRNA from 1 species
UGGGGAAUAUUGCACAAUGGGCGCAAGCCUGAUGCAGCCAUGCCGCGUGUGUGAAGAAGGCCUUCGGGUUGUAAAGCACUUUCAGCGAGGAGGAAGGUGGUGAGCUUAAUACGCUCAUCAAUUGACGUUACUCGCAGAAGAAGCACCGGCUAACUCCGUGCCAGCAGCCGCGGUAAUACGGAGGGUGCAAGCGUUAAUCGGAAUUACUGGGCGUAAAGCGCACGCAGGCGGUUUGUUAAGUCAGAUGUGAAAUCCCCGGGCUCAACCUGGGAACUGCAUUUGAAACUGGCAAGCUAGAGUCUCGUAGAGGGGGGUAGAAUUCCAGGUGUAGCGGUGAAAUGCGUAGAGAUCUGGAGGAAUACCGGUGGCGAAGGCGGCCCCCUGGACGAAGACUGACGCUCAGGUGCGAAAGCGUGGGGCAGCAAACAGGAUUAGAUACCCUGGUAGUCCACGCUGUAAACGAUGUCGAUUUUGGAGGUUGUGCCCUUGAGGCGUGGCUUCCGGAGCUAACGCGUUAAAUCGACCGCCUGGGGAGUACGGCCGCAAGGCUAAAACUCAAAUGAAUGACGGGGUCAUAGCUGUUUCC